GAUGAUAUUAGCCUCAUUGCUGAUGAGUAUGUGAAGUAACCCCUCUUUGUUGUACAGCCGAGAGAGCUCCAGACUUCCUUUUUCCUUUUUUUACCUUUAACUGUACUCACUCCGUGGAACAGCAGGGAUUCUGUUCUUCACUUCAAAAAUGAAAAUUGUGUCUUCCAGUGAGAAGUCUCCAGGUUUGUUACAGUGUAAAGUUAUGUAGCAGAAAUCUUAACUCAUCUAUUAUUUAUGCUGACAGUAAAAUCAGCAUAGUUACAUAAUACCGAAGUGCAUCCUUAGAACAAAAAUAACAGAGAAAUCUUAAUGCCUAUAAAAAUGGAAAAUGACACCAUUGAAUAGACAAACUAAUAUAUAUUAUUUGGAAAUGUGUAUUUAUAUGGUCAUAGAAUAAUAAUUAAUUCAGAGUAGUAAAUAGAUGCCAGAGGAUCCUAAUUCUACAGUCUGUACUCCAAAUACCAACAAUGGCUUUUUCAUCAAAGUUGUAACAUAAUAAGGUAAUGAGGUAGCAUGAGAGUACGAUUAAUUCAGAGCAAUAUGAAUGGAAUAAUCCCUGAAGACAAUCAUUAGUACAGAGCACAUAUGAUGAACAUUAAUUCAGAGCUAACCUUCCAGAAUACGACCCUGUUCCAUCUCAUGCAGUACCUUCUUUGUUGCAGUUAUGUGACGCUGUAGUUUCUUCUUUUCGUUCUAAUCCUAUAACGUAAAAUAUACAGAGAGGAAAUAUUACCAGUCAGUACUAAUUUAGUGUAACGAAAGUUGCAAAAGGGGUAAAAUGCUUCCAUGGCAGAAUCUGAAACAAUCAUGUUAACUACUACCACUGUCCUAAAUAUAAGACGUUUUACAUUCACAAUAUUUUGAAUCCCUAAAUCAAUCCAUGAUAUUGUAGAGGUUUCUAACUAUAACCACCUUAGCUCUAUAAGGUUAACAUUAUGUGUGAUGAGAAAGAGUUGUAGUGGCAAGUAACAGAAUUAAAUUAAUUUUUGUGCCACCGUAAAACUGGAGUGAUGUCAAUCAAGUCAACAACCUAUACAACGCAAUCUAUGCAACAGAAAUGUCUUAUUUCUAAGGACUAGUGUCAAAUUGAUUUGCGGAAAAAACUUGGAUUUACAAUCUGCAACCCUAUGUUUGUCCCAUUUAUCCCAAAACUUCAAGCCAUGUCUGUGUGUAAUAGCUCGUACACUAAUGCAACAGGUACCAUAGGAUUAAGAAAUGAGGUCAGAUCAUAUAUUCUUUCUAUUUGUAUAAGACUACAAAUUUUUGAACUUCACGCAGUCAGUGAUAUUAUACUUGUAACAUAAGUAUUCCAUCCGUUCGGAAAUAACUGAUGCAGUUUGAGGUCAAAACUACGACCAUUAUUUCCGAACGGAAGGAGUAUUCCAUUACCAUUCACCUAGCACAAAUUACAAUUCAAUUAGCAACAAAUAUUUCUGCCCAUCAUAGUCCUUGGCCAGGGUGAGGGGACCUUGAAUCCUAGAAAUUUGUAGAGGAUGCAUCAUCUUGAGCAAUCUAUCACAACUCACAAAAUCACCCAAGAGGCGGGUACAGACUAUGUUAACCAUUUACUUGUACAUAAUAUGUUAACUUAAACCAUGUCGGGCGAGGGUGUUUACGAAUGAACCCAAGCAAAAUAUUCCAUGCCAUUCUUUACGGAAUUUAGAUGAAAAUAGUGUAUUAGCAAGCAUGUGCUCCUAAAAAGAAGCCAUAUCUAGCAGCUCCUAAAAAGAUUUCAUAGACAUAAAAAUUUGUAUAGGAGGGGCAAUUCGUGCACACUGCAAAGAAAAUUUUGCAUAUCAAUUUGACCUUGCAAAUACUUGCAAUUAGACCUUCUAAUAAAUAAGGUAUGCAACGAAUAGGAAAAAAAAGGAUAUCAAAAACAUGCAUCCAGAAUAAAAAGAGAAGAUAACAAAUAGCACAACCUGUACUUUGGAUGUAUCCUCGGAUGGUAAAACUGUUACCAAUACAGUGCUGAAAAACGAAAAGGAUGGUCUUAUUAGCUGACAGGAACACAAACCAGAAUUUAGUAAACCAACAUCACAUUACUUCAUCCCAAGAACACAUAGGAAAUAAGUUGUUUGGAGGUACCAAUUGGAUGGGUUCAUCGUCAUUGAUAGAGCGGUUCACCUUCUCAUAGAGCUUGAACAACGUCCAUCUCAUUCCUUGAGACUUAAUUUAAUUUUAGAAAAAGAAACCUGAAUCAAACAACCCAAACAGUGGUAAGAAUAAACUGGGAGGAGGAGCUCGCAUGAAGAGGUGCAAGCUGAGAGAGGAUAUCAUGAUGGGAGGCGCAGGCCUUCGAUUACCUUCACAGGAGUAGGGUAGAAGACUUCUGUCAUCAGUGGCUGAUCUCAACCUGGACAAAUUAUCAACCAUCCACCAUUUAAGAUUCAACCUCGUGUCAAAAAAUGCUUGGAUAAUAGUCUGGUGGUUAGGAAAUUUUUAACGGAAAUUGCUUUGAUAUUAGUCCAAGUACAAGGAUGGCAAAAUACAUUUUGUUUAAUCAAAUUCUUUCUAAUAUAAAACAUGUUCACUUCAAUUAUUUUGGCAGCUCCAUCUAGCUAUAGGAAACGUUGCAAGAACCUUAUGGCAAACAGUACAUGCAUCUCAUGAUCACUCAUAAGAGCGAACAUCUUAAUGGCACUUAUAAUCCCCAAGACUCAUAAUAUCAAAAGAUAACCGAUACAAAAUGAGAUGCAAGAAUGGCAUCAUUAUGAAUCCAAUUUCAGAUGAGAAACAAUGAAAAAGAACUCCCAGGAAAAUAUUUCUGAUAAGUAAUAAGGAGCAUGUACAUUUGUGAUAACCCACAAGUAUAGGGGAUCGCAACAGUUUUCGAGGGUAGAGUAUUCAACCCAAAUUUAUUGAUUCGACACAAGGGGAGCCAAAGAAUAUUCUCAAGUAUUAGCAGUUGAAUUGUCAAUUCAACCACACCUGGAUAACUUAAUAUCUGCAGCAAAGUAUUUAGUAACAAAGUAGUAUGAUAGUAACGGUAACGGUAGCAAAAGUAAUAUUUUUGGGUUUUGUAGUGAUUGUAACAGUAGCAACGGAAAAGUAAAUAAGCGAAGAACAAUGUGUGAAAAGCUCGUAGGCAUUGGAUCGGUGAUGGAGAAUUAUGUCGGAUGCGGUUCAUCAUGUAACAAUCAUAACAUAGGGUGACACAGAACUAGCUCCAAUUCAUCAAUGUAAUGUAGGCAUGUAUUCCGAAUAUAGUCAUACGUGCUUAUGGAAAAGAACUUGCAUGACAUCUUUUGUCCUACCCUCCCGUGGCAGCGGGGUCCUAGCGGAAACUAAGGGAUAUUAAGGCCUCCUUUUAAUAGAGUACUGGACCAAAGCAUUAACACAUAGUGAAUACAUGAACUCCUCAAACUACGGUCAUCACCGGGAGUGGUCCCGAUUAUUGUCACUUCGGGGUUGCCAGAUCAUAACACAUAGUAGGUGACUAUAGACUUGCAAGAUAGGAUCAAGAACUCACAUAUAUUCAUGAAAACAUAAUAGGUUCAGAUCUGAAAUCAUGGCACUCGGGCCCUGGUCACAAGCAUUUGCAAAGUUAUAGCAACAUCAAUCUCAGAACAUAGUGGAUACUAGGGAUCAAACCCUAACAAAACUAACUCGAUUACAUGAUAAAUCUCAUCCAACCCAUCACCGUCCAGCAAGCCUAUGAUGGAAUUACUCACGCACGCCGGUGAGCAUCAUGAAAUUGGUGAUGGAGGAUGGUUGAUGAUGACAAUGGCGACGAAUUCCCCUCUCCGGAGCCCCGAACGGACUCCAGAUCAGCCCUCCCGAGAGAGUUUAGGGCUUGGCGGCGGCUCCGUAUCGUAAAACGCGAUGAAUCUUUCUCUUUGAUUUUUUUCUCCCCGAACACGAAUAUAUGGAGUUGGACUUGAGGUCGGUGGAGCUCCAGGGGCCCACGAGGCAGGGAGGCGCGCCCCCCACCCUCGUGCAAAGGGUGUGGGCCCCCUGGCCUUGAUUCUUUCGCCAGUAUUUUUUAUUAUUUCCAAAAAUAAUCUCCGUGAAGUUUCAGGUCAUUCCGAGAACUUUUGUUUCUGCACAAAAAUAACACCAUGGCAAUUCUGCUGAAAACAGCGUCAGUCCGGGUUAGUUCCAUUCAAAUCGUGCAAGUUAGAGUCCAAAACAAGGGCAAAAGUGUUUGGAAAAGUAGAUACGACGGAGACGUAUCAAUUUGCCUUUUGCCUCAGUGUCUCUCCCUAUCCCGACAGAACUCUCAGGAUCUACUACACACUGAUAAACCCAUGUUUAAUCACGUAAGCCAUAAGGUAUAGAAACAUAAACAGAUGGAUAUUGGACUUAUUCAGCAUGCCGACCAAACCUUAAUAAACACUACAUUAACACAUGCCAUGUUGUAGCAGAGGCAUUAUACCAGACAUGCAAGCACGACACCAACUGCGACCAAUGCAUCAUUUAAAUAGUAACCUGCCGGACCACCACAACAAGAGAGAAGAUCAGAAACCACCUGAAUCCAUGGUCGACAACAACACUGCUCCUCCACUUUAGUGUGCUCCAACCACUGGCCACACACACUGCUAACCAAACCCCGCAACCUGGUCAAUCUAGCGGGAUUGGCCAUGCCCGAGGAGGUCGUGGAUGAUGCAAUAGGCUCUGCUCUAACGCCCCACCUUCUCCAACUCCACCCUCAUAAGAAUUGAAUGCUAGAAGAAAUCGGUCAGUUCAAACUUGAGUCCCUCCAAAAAUGGUUGCAUGCUAGAAGAUGCAGUUAUAGGAUAUCAGACCUUGAAAGGCAUGCCAACCACAAGCUUCACAACAAGAGACCUAUAAAGGAGCCCAGGAGCCUGGCAAAUAAAAGAGGCUUUCAUCAUUAUAGAACACAUUGAGCAAGACACGAAAGCUACACAUCUUUGCUGUAGUUAUUUUAUCAAACCAAGUAACAAAGCAGCAUUCUCUUGCUAAAUGCAUGAAAACUAAGAAGCUGUUGAAAGUCAUCCAUGUUUAGAUUAGAGAAUAGCUACAUUGAGAUAUAUUUUAGUGGGGUCAAAUAAGAAAAAUAUCAAUGCAAGUCACAAAAAAGGGUAUUAGCACAUGCUUCUCACCAAUAUCAACAUAGAUGUGGUUGCCCAUGCCAAGAAACAACAUGGAUGUGGUUGUCUCAAUUGAACUUAGGCACAAGCUUCUCACCAAUCUCAGCAUAGAUGUUAGACCUUCCAAGAAACAACAAACAUCAAUUACCAAGCAGAAAAGGCAGGAGAAAAUUACAAACAACAUAGGGCACGGGGUCUAGAGAAGCCAUGUACCUGCACAUCCAAAAGGACCAUGUCAGUGUGUUUGAUAGGACCAUUAUCAGUGGAUCCACAAUGCUGCUACAGACGCGAAACAUACACACGGAUGGUCAGGUUCUUGUUCCCCACAAGAAGAGCCUGCAGAUCA
rnacentral:lncRNA from 1 species